rnacentral:rRNA from 1 species
CAGCACCUCAAGUGGUCAGGAUGAUUAUUGGGCCUAAAGCAUCCGUAGCCGGCGCUGUAAGUUUUCGGUUAAAUCUGUACGCUCAACGUACAGGCUGCCGGGAAUACUGCAGCGCUAGGGAGUGGGAGAGGUAGACGGUACUCGGUAGGAAGGGGUAAAAUCCUUUGAUCUAUUGAUGACCACCUGUGGCGAAGGCGGUCUACCAGAACACGUCCGACGGUGAGGGAUGUAAGCUGGGGGAGCAAACCGGAUUAGAGACCCGAGUAGUCC